ACGCUGGUGGUAUGCUUAACACAUGCAAGUCGAACGGGCAUAGCAAUAUGUCAGUGGCAAACGGGUGAGGAAUAUAUAGGAAUCUACCUAGCAGUAAGGAAUAACUUUGGGAAAUCAAAGCUAAUGCCAUAUAUUACCGGUUAGCAAUAAUCGGGAGAGAUUUAUCGCUGUUAGAUGAGCCUGUAUCAGAUUAGCUAGUUGGUGGGGUAAUGGCCUACCAAGGCAAUGAUCUGUAGCUGGUCUGAGAGGAUGAUCAGCCACACUGGAACUGCGACACGGUCCAGACUCCUACGGGAGGCAGCAGUGGGGAAUAUUGGACAAUGGGCGCAAGCCUGAUCCAGCAAUACCACGUGAGUGAUGAAGGCCUUCGGGUUGUAAAACUCUUUUAGUGGGGAAGAUAAUGACUGUACCCACAGAAAAAGCACCGGCUAACUUCGUGCCAGCAGCCGCGGUAAUACGAAGGGUGCUAGCGUUGUUCGGAAUCAUUGGGCGUAAAGCGUGCGUAGGCGGCUUGACAAGUCAGCUGUGAAAGCCCAGGGCUCAACCUUGGAAUUGCAGUUGAAACUGUUUCGCUAGAGUGUGAAGAGGGAUAGUGGAAUUCUUAGUGUAGGGGUGAAAUCCGUAGAUAUUAAGAGGAACACCGGUGGCGAAAGCGACUAUCUAUGUCAUUACUGACGCUGUUGCACGAAAGCGUGGGGAGCAAACAGGAUUAGAUACCCUGGUAGUCCACGCAGUA
rnacentral:rRNA from 1 species